rnacentral:rRNA from 1 species
GGGAUAACCACUGGAAACGGUGGCUAAUACCGCAUAACGUCGCAAGACCAAAGAGGGGGACCUUCGGGCCUCUCGCUAUCGGAUGAGCCCAGAUGGGAUUAGCUAGUAGGCGGGGUAACGGCCCACCUAGGCGACGAUCCCUAGCUGGUCUGAGAGGAUGACCAGCCACACUGGAACUGAGACACGGUCCAGACUCCUACGGGAGGCAGCAGUGGGGAAUAUUGCACAAUGGGCGCAAGCCUGAUGCAGCCAUGCCGCGUGUAUGAAGAAGGCCUUCGGGUUGUAAAGUACUUUCAGCGGGGAGGAAGGCGACGGGGUUAAUAACCCUGUCGAUUGACGUUACCCGCAGAAGAAGCACCGGCUAACUCCGUGCCAGCAGCCGCGGUAAUACGGAGGGUGCAAGCGUUAAUCGGAAUUACUGGGCGUAAAGCGCACGCAGGCGGUCUGUUAAGUCAGAUGUGAAAUCCCCGGGCUUAACCUGGGAACUGCAUUUGAAACUG